CUGGUCCCUGGCCGCAGCCGACCCACUGCAUGGGAGGAAGGCUCGGGCCUGGCUUGGUCUCUCCUGAGCCAGGCCCUGGAGGGUCUUUCCAGACCCGGUUGGCAGCUAGCUGUGGCUCAAGGAGAUGGGCGUUGGCACAACAGACACGGCCCAGACGGUGGCCCAGGGCUGGGUCUGCUGGAGACUGAGCCAAAAAUCGCUGCCCUACGGGGGUCUGGAUUUCUCGGCUCUUCCCUUCACCCACAGCCCUGGAUGUAAAUGGAAUUAUACUGUUUUGCCCUCCACCACGGAGAAACAGGAAUGCAACAAAAAAAGCUCAUAGCUUCUCCCUUCCCCCCAGAUUUCAAGCUCUGUUGAAAGACAGUUUUGCCUUCAGUAUAACAGGACAGUGAAGAACCCUCAUCAGGAAAUGAGUAAAAAUCUCUCAAGCUAAAGUCAGAUGGAGGAAGGAAGAAAGAUCCAACACCCUGAUCCAGAUUCACAACCCACCCUGUGGAAGUGAGAGAUCGGAUGCAGCCUGGA